UUGCUUCGGCAGCAAGUAUCCUAAAAGUGUAACGAUACAGAGAAGAUUAGCACAGCCUCUGCACAAGGAUGACAUGCAAAUUCAUGAAGCUUCCCAUAUUUUU